rnacentral:rRNA from 1 species
GAUGAACGCUGGCGGCGUGCUUAACACAUGCAAGUCGAACGAAGCACUUUAUUUGAUUUCCUUCGGGACUGAUUAUUUUGUGACUGAGUGGCGGACGGGUGAGUAACGCGUGGGUAACCUGCCUUGUACAGGGGGAUAACAGCUGGAAACGGCUGCUAAUACCGCAUAAGCGCACGGCAUCGCAUGAUGCAGUGUGAAAAACUCCGGUGGUAUAAGAUGGACCCGCGUUGGAUUAGCUAGUUGGUGAGGUAACGGCCCACGAAGGCGACGAUCCAUAGCCGACCUGUGAGGGGGAGCGGCGACAUUGAGACUGAGCCACGGCCCAAACUCCUACGGGAGGCAGCAGUGGGGGAUAUUGCACAAUGGGCGAAAGGCUGAUGCAGCGACGCCGCGAGAGCGAAGAAGUAUUUCGGUAUGUAAAGCUCUAUCAGCAGGGAAUAUAAUGACGGUACCUAACUAAGAAGCACCGGCUAAAUACGUG